rnacentral:rRNA from 1 species
AGUGAGCGCUGGCGGUAGGCCUAACACAUGCAAGUCGAACGGCAGCACAGUAAGGGCUUGCUCUUACGGGUGGCGAGUGGCGGACGGGUGAGGAAUACAUCGGAAUCUACUUUUUCGUGGGGGAUAACGUAGGGAAACUUACGCUAAUACCGCAUACGACCUACGGGUGAAAGCAGGGGAUCUUCGGACCUUGCGCGAUUGAAUGAGCCGAUGUCGGAUUAGCUAGUUGGCGGGGUAAAGGCCCACCAAGGCGACGAUCCGUAGCUGGUCUGAGAGGAUGAUCAGCCACACUGGAACUGAGACACGGUCCAGACUCCUACGGGAGGCAGCAGUGGGGAAUAUUGGACAAUGGGCGCAAGCCUGAUCCAGCCAUACCGCGUGGGUGAAGAAGGCCUUCGGGUUGUAAAGCCCUUUUGUUGGGAAAGAAAAGCAGCAGGUUAAUACCCCGCUGUUCUGACGGUACCCAAAGAAUAAGCACCGGCUAACUUCGCG